rnacentral:piRNA from 1 species
CCCUGAGAGCCGAACGCCCAUUUG